rnacentral:rRNA from 1 species
UACGUAGGGUGCAAGCGUUGUCCGGAAUUAUUGGGCGUAAAGAGCUCGUAGGCGGUUUGUCGCGUCGGCUGUGAAAACCCGAGGCUCAACCUCGGGCCUGCAGUCGAUACGGGCAAAACUAGAGUGUGGUAGGGGAGACUGGAAUUCCUGGUGUAGCGGUGAAAUGCGCAGAUAUCAGGAGGAACACCGGUGGCGAAGGCGGGUCUCUGGGCAGUAACUGACGCUGAGGAGCGAAAGCGUGGGGAGCAAACAGG